rnacentral:rRNA from 1 species
AACGAACGCUGGCGGCAGGCUUAACACAUGCAAGUCGAACGCAUCGCAAGAUGAGUGGCAGACGCGCGAGUAACGCGUGGGAACAUACCCUUUUCUACGGAAUAGCUCUGGGAAACUGGAAUUAAUACCGUAUACGCCCUACGGGGGAAAGAUUUAUCGGGGAAGGAUUGGCCCGCGUUGGCGUAACUAGUUGGUGGGGUAAAGGCCUACCAAAGCGACGAUCCAUAGCUGGUCUGAGAGGAUCAUCAGCCACAUUGGGACUGAGACACGGCCCAAGCUCCUACGGGAGGCAGCAGUGGGGUAUAUUGGACAAUGGGCGCAAGCCUGAUGCCGCCAUGGCGCGUGAGUGAUGAAGGCCGUAGGGUUGUAAAGCUCUUUCACCGAUGAAGUUAAUGACGGUAGUCGGAGAAGAAGCCCCGGCUAACUUCGUGCCAGCCGCCGCGGUAAUAC